UUCAUUCCCACAAAUCGCAUAUGUCAAGAUUUCCAUCAGUUGAAUGCCAAAGUGAAAUUGUUCCAAAUCGACCUCCAAAUCGAAAACCCUCCAGAUUUAUAAUAAAUCUAGAUUCAUCCCAGAAAAAGAGCAAUCAAAUUGAGCCAUAAUAGUUGAUAAUGAGGAAUAAGAGUGACUCACAAUGUCGUUAAAUGGUUGGCAACUGUAAUGUUGAUGAAGAAAAUCGUUGGUUGAAGUAGAAGAGGGACCACAAGCAGAUAACAGACUUGAAGAAGAUGAAGUGGAACCUGAUGAAUACAAAUUGGCCGAUUCAUAAGACGAUGUUAAUGACAAUGAUUUUUCAUUACGAUAAGAAUGAAAAUGCAUGGGUUUUGGUCUUUCAAUCUGUUGACUGUUUGGGAUGAAAGGACAACCAUAACCCAAAAAAAAAAAAAAAAAACAAAAGGUUGUUCAGGGAAUAGUUCCAUAUGCACCACCACGAAUAAAGAAAAAUUAGCAACGCAGUAGAACAUCAUUGUUGUUUGAUGUCUACAAUUUAGAUCAUGAAGAUGAUAACUAUCUUUUGAAUUAAUGUUCUUUUGUUGUAAAUCUGACUGAAAUUAUGUUUUGUUGAUGUACAAACGAGUCUAAUUAUGCUUAGUUUAUGGUUGAAUGAAAUUUCAUAUUUUGGUGUA